rnacentral:rRNA from 1 species
AUUGAACGCUGGCGGCAGGCCUAACACAUGCAAGUCGAGCGAGCGGCGGACGGGUGAGUAAUGUAUGGGGACUGCCCGAUAGAGGGGGAUAACUACUGGAAACGGUGGCUAAUACCGCAUCCUAUCGGAUAACCCAUAUGGGAUUAGCUAGUAGGUAAGGUAAUGGCUUACCUAGGCGACGAUCCCUAGCUGGUCUGAGAGGAUGAUCAGCCACACUGGGACUGAGACACGGCCCAGACCCCUACGGAGGGAGGAGUGGGGAAUAUUGCACAAUUGGCGCAAGCCCGAUGCAGCCAUGCCGCGUGGAUUGAGAAGGCCCUAGGGUUGUAAAGUACUUUCAGUCGGGAGGCGUUACCGACAGAAGAAGCACCGGCUAACUCCGUGCCAGCAGCCGCGGUAAUUC